UACGUAGGGCGCAAGCGUUGUCCGGAAUCAUUGGGCGUAAAGCGCGCGUAGGCGGCCCUGUAAGUCCGUUGUGAAAGUCAAAGGCUCAACCUUUGAAAGCCGAUGGAUACUGCAGGGCUAGAGUCCGGAAGAGGCGAGUGGAAUUCCUGGUGUAGCGGUGGAAUGCGCAGAUAUCAGGAGGAACACCGAUGGCGAAGGCAGCUCGCUGGGACGGUACUGACGCUGAGGCGCGAAAGCGUGGGGAGCAAACAGG
rnacentral:rRNA from 1 species